UGACCUACGGGGGGCAGCAGUUGGGAAUAUUGGACAAUGGAGGAAACUCUGAUCCAGUGACGCCGCGUGAAGGAAGAAGGUCUUCGGAUUGUAAACUUAUUUUAUCAGGGAAGAAAAAAAUGACUGUACCUGAAGAAGAAGCACCGGCUAACUACGUGCCAGCAGCCGCGGUAAUACGUAGGGUGCAAGCGUUAUCCGGAUUUACUGGGUGUAAAGGGCGUGUAGGCGGGACUGCAAGUCAGAUGUGAAAAUUAUGGGCUCAACCCAUCACCUGCAUUUGAAACUGUAGUUCUUGAGUGAUGGAG
rnacentral:rRNA from 1 species